AAAAAGGCCCUUUUCAGGGCCACCAAAAACAAUAAUUAUUAUUAUUU
rfam:Acyrthosiphon pisum strain LSR1 Contig24503, whole genome shotgun sequence.